CUACGGGAGGCUGCAGCUGAGGAAAUUUUACAAUGCUCGCAAGAGUGAUAAAAUAAACCAGAGUGUUUCUUUCAAAGAAACUUUUAUCUGUUGUAAAAAGACAGAUGAAUAAGGACUGGGCAAGACCGGUGCCAGCCGCCGCGGUAAUACCGGCGGUCCAAGUUGCAUCCAUAUUUAUUGGGUCUAAAACAUUCGUAGCUUGUUUUGUAAGUCUCUUGUGAAAUCUCAUAUCUCAAGUAUGAGGCGUGCGAGAGAUACUGCAUUACUAGAGACCGGAAGACGCAAAGAGUACAAUUGAGGUAGCGGUAAAAUGUGUUAAUCUUAAUUGGACUAACAACGGCGAAGGCACUUUGCGAGUACGGAUCUGACAGUGAGGGAUGAAGGCUAGGGGCGCAAAAGGGAUUAGAUACCCUUGUAGUC
rnacentral:rRNA from 1 species